rnacentral:rRNA from 1 species
AUUGAACGCUGGCGGCAGGCCCAACACAUGCAAGUCGAGCGGAUGAAGGGAGCUUGCUCCUGGAUUCAGCGGCGGACGGGUGAGUAAUGCCUAGGAAUCUGCCUGGUAGUGGGGAUAACGUCCGGAAACGGGCGCUAAUACCGCAUACGUCCUGAGGGAGAAAGUGGGGGAUCUUCGGACCUCACGCUAUCAGAUGAGCCUAGGUCGGAUUAGCUAGUUGGUGGGGUAAAGGCCUACCAAGGCGACGAUCCGUAACUGGUCUGAGAGGAUGAUCAGUCACACUGGAACUGAGACACGGUCCAGACUCCUACGGGAGGCAGCAGUGGGGAAUAUUGGACAAAGGGCGAAAGCCUGAUCCAGCCAUGCCGCGUGUGUGAAGAAGGUCUUCGGAUUGUAAAGCACUUUAAGUUGGGAGGAAGGGCAGUAAGUUAAUACCUUGCUGUUUUGACGUUACCAACAGAAUAAGCACCGGCUAACUUCGUG